rnacentral:tRNA from 1 species
UCCCCGGUAGCUCAGUGGUAGAGCAAGCGGCUGUUAACCGCUUGGUCGCUGGUUCGAGUCCGGCUCGGGGAGCCA